rnacentral:lncRNA from 1 species
UUGUGUUGCCCCCCCAGGGCACAUCCAAGUUGGCGGAACAAUCACAUUGGGGGGCUCUAGAACCAAGUGUGGGGAGUUCGAUUCCUGGUUGGAGCAGCCAAGUGAUGUAAUAACCAGAGGAAGGGUUGGAGCAGCUUGGUGAUGUAAUAACCAUGGAGGAGGGUCCCUUUGGGGAAGGAGUAAAAGUCAUGUGGGAACCUGGGAACCAACAAGGGCACAACCUGCGAUUUACCUCCACUAGUCACUGAGGGGCCGGGGGCUAGAGGUCCAGGAUUUAGUCCGGCUAAGCUGGGACACCUGGGGUUAAAAAAAAAAAAAAAAAAAAAAAAAAAAAAAA